UCGGACGGUAGGGGAGGCCUUCGGGUUUCCUUGAGAGUGGCGGACGGGUGAGUAACACGUAGGUGAUCUACCUCUGGAUGGGGGAUAGCCCAUGGAAACAUGGGGUAAUACCGCAUAGAGUCUACGUUCAUAAGGGAUGUAGAUUAAAGGCGCAAUUGUGCUGUCCGGAGAUGAGCCUGCGGUCCAUUAGUUAGUUGGCAGGGUAAGAGCCUACCAAGGCGAUGAUGGGUAGCCGGCCUGAGAGGGUGUACGGUCACACUGGGACUGAGACACGGCCCAGACUCCUACGGGAGGCAGCAGCUAAGAAUAUUCCGCAAUGGGCGCAAGCCUGACGGAGCGACGCCGCGUGGACGAUGAAGGCCGAGAGGUUGUAAAGUCCUUUUGCAGAUGAAGAAUAAGGCGAGGAGUGGAACGUCUUGCUGAUGACGUUAGUCUGCGAAUAAGCCCCGGCCAAUUACGUGCCAGCAGCCGCGGUAACACGUAAGGGGCGAGCGUUGUUCGGAUUUAUUGGGCGUAAAGGGCGUGUAGGCGGUUUUGUAAGCCUGGUGUUAAAGGCCUUGGCUCAACCAAGGUUUGGCGUUGGGAACUGCGAGACUAGAGUUCAGGAGGGGGAGCUGGAAUUCCAGGUGUAGGGGUGAAAUCUGUAGAUAUCUGGAAGAACACCGGUGGCGAAGGCGAGCUCCUAGCCAUGGACUGACGCUGAGGCGCGAAAGCGUGGGGAGCGAACAGGAUUAGAUACCCUGGUAGUC
rnacentral:rRNA from 1 species